UACGUAGGGACCAAGCGUUGUUCGGAUUUACUGGGCGUAAAGGGCGCGUAGGCGGCAAUUCAAGUCAUCUGUGAAAUCUCCGGGCUUAACCCGGAACGGUCAGGUAAUACUGUUUUGCUAGAGUGCGGAAGGGGCAAUCGGAAUUCUUGGUGUAGCGGUGAAAUGCGUAGAUAUCAAGAGGAACACCUGAGGUGAAGACGGGUUGCUGGGCCGACACUGACGCUGACAGCGCGAAAGCCAGGGGAGCAAACGGG
rnacentral:rRNA from 1 species